rnacentral:rRNA from 1 species
ACGAACGCUGGCGGCGUGCUUAACACAUGCACGUCGAACGCUGAAGCUUGGUGCUUGCACUGGGUGGAUGAGUGGCGAACGGGUGAGUAAUACGUGAGUAACCUGCCCUUGACUCUGGGAUAAGCCUGGGAAACUGGGUCUAAUACUGGAUACGACAUGUCACCGCAUGGUGGUGUGUGGAAAGGGUUUUACUGGUUUUGGAUGGGCUCACGGCCUAUCAGCUUGUUGGUGGGGUAAUGGCUCACCAAGGCGACGACGGGUAGCCGGCCUGAGAGGGUGACCGGCCACACUGGGACUGAGACACGGCCCAGACUCCUACGGGAGGCAGCAGUGGGGAAUAUUGCACAAUGGGCGGAAGCCUGAUGCAGCGACGCCGCGUGAGGGAUGACGGCCUUCGGGUUGUAAACCUCUUUCAGCACGGAAGAAGCGAAAGUGACGGUACGUGCAGAAGAAGCGCCGGCUAACUACGUG